UUGCACUGUUCGUAACCUGUUUGCAGUAUCCUCCUGCUAAUGGGUUCCAUUCCAGUGCUAUAUUAAAUCCCUGAAGUAACAGAAGGUGGACUGUUCAUCUGUCUGUCUGACCCUCUUUAUUUUUGGGGAUACAAUU
ensembl:snoRNA